rnacentral:rRNA from 1 species
CAAGCGUUAUCCGGAUUUAUUGGGUUUAAAGGGUGCGUAGGCGGUUUGAUAAGUUAGAGGUGAAAUCCCGGGGCUUAACUCCGGAACUGCCUCUAAUACUGUUAGACUAGAGAGUAGUUGCGGUAGGCGGAAUGUAUGGUGUAGCGGUGAAAUGCUUAGAGAUCAUACAGAACACCGAUUGCGAAGGCAGCUUACCAAACUAUAUCUGACGUUGAGGCACGAAAGCGUGGGGAGCAAACAGGAUUAGAUACCCUGGUAGUCCACGCAGUAAACGAUGAUAACUCGUUGUCGGCGAUACACAGUCGGUGACUAAGCGAAAGCGAUAAGUUAUCCACCUGGGGAGUACGUUCGCAAGAAUGAAACUCAAAGGAAUUGACGGGGGCCCGCACAAGCGGAGGAACAUGUGGUUUAAUUCGAUGAUACGCGAGGAACCUUACCCGGGCUUGAAUUGCAACUGAACGAUGUGGAGACAUGUCAGCCGCAAGGCAGUUGUGAAGGUGCUGCAUGGUUGUCGUCAGCUCGUGCCGUGAGGUGUCGGCUUAAGUGCCAUAACGAGCGCAACCCUUAUCGAUAGUUACCAUCAGGUUAUGCUGGGGACUCUGUCGAGACUGCCGUCGUAAGAUGUGAGGAAGGUGGGGAUGACGUCAAAUCAGCACGGCCCUUACGUCCGGGGCUACACACGUGUUACAAUGGUAGGUACAGAGGGCAGCUACCCAGCGAUGGGAUGCCAAUCUCGAAAGCCUAUCUCAGUUCGGAUUGGAGGCUGAAACCCGCCUCCAUGAAGUUGGAUUCGCUAGUAAUCGCGCAUCAGCCAUGGCGCGGUGAAUACGUUCCCGGGCCUUGUACACACCGCCCGUCAAGCCAUG